AGCAGAAGUGCAGCUGGGGGCCAUUUUGUCAAGAAGUGCUUAUUUGGAAAAACAAAACAAAACAAAAAAUGAAAAAAAAAAAAAAAAUCUAUACAGGUGCAUGCCAGUCCCCCGGUAAUGAAAUGUAACAAAGGAAGCACUUAAGUUCAGUGAGGGAAAUACAGCUUUAAAUUACAGAUUGUACCCAGAGCACUUUAUAAACGGUAAUGUGUGAUAAUGUAUUAUCCUUACUUCUGUGAAAUUGUGGACUGCAACUUCUGCCGGGGCCAGUUAAAGGGCCAGGAGAUGGAGAGGGUUGCGUGAAUGCCAUUCAAGAAAAGGGCAACAGAGGCUAAGGGGUUAAACUCCCCAGAAAACCAAUUUAUGCAAAGGGCUGGAUCCUGACCGGCAUUCUGCACUAAAGAUCUGAAUUACAAAUUUAGAGAAUUUGCUGCUCGACAACGAAUGCAGGAAGGACCUCACUGGCUGCUGGGAACAACUGCCCUUUUGAAUGAAUUCUUUUAUGGUUACCAGUCAAAAAGUCACCGUCAGCUGGAACUGGAAGGGAGGGGCAUUUCUUAUCUGGGCAAAAAGCCCCUGUACCCAGCGAGGUGAAACUUGCAAAUGAUACUGUCACCUUCCUCAAUGGACUGCAGCUCAGGAGCUCACCAAAGGUUGCAGCAGACAACCCCCACGGUGUUUGGAGACAAAGGAAUAGCAGCUGCCUGGUUUCCUUGAAUCACCCCGUGCUCUGACGAUGGCAGUGAUGGGCCUCCCACCAAUGGCUUCCCCAAGUGCUGUUUUCCUGCUUCAUGCCAAGUUAAGCAUUCUGAUACUAAGCGGCACGAGAUAGUUCUCAACUGGGUGAGGCACAGGUGUGAGUAAUCUCGAGAUGCAGAAACUGAGGCUCCAAGAUGACCUAGGACUAGGUCAUGCGGUAACGGCCUGGCCACUUUGACUUGGAAUCUGGCCCUCAGCUCACCUGUUGUCCCCGGCUCUCUUCUGUUCACUGCCCGCUCUUUCCAACCCUCGGUCUCAGGCUCCUUGCAGUGACUGCGCUGAUUGUCACAAGCCUCGGUUCAGCCCACACCAGUGUGGACAGAUGUCUUCCCUUUUCAAGCCUCCAUUUGUUCACCUGCUAAACCUGCCUGCAGAUUGCGCUGCACACAAUCUAGCACUUCAGGGGCUCAUGAAAAUGGGAAAGGGGAAGGCUGGGAAAGGGCCAUCAAAGAAGUGGUGCUUAGGGGAAGGGAGAAACCCAGUCUUCCAUCAAUCAGAAUAGUUUCACUUUUAUCAUAUGUGUCUGUGUGUGCGUAUAUGCAUAUAUCCGCACACACACACACACACACCCAGGUUUUGUGACAUUUUCUUUUGUAAACAAAAAAGUCCCUUUGCUCAAAAAGAAAGGAAAAUGUUUUCAAACAGUUGGACUUUGUGAAUGCCAAGGGCUUCCUUCCAGUUCUUUUCAGAUUUUUGAAAACCAAGUGGGUUGCUCUCAGUUAGAACUCAAGUAGCAUGAUGGAGAAGGAGGAAAAAAGGACCUGACUAACGAGGACGUCACUGUGAGACAAAGAUCAUGCAGGGAUCGGCCUGCGGUGUGUCUCAUUUCCUGUGGGUAACAGGCACCACAAUAGUUCUGUGGGUGGUGACAGGCUCGGCUGCCAGCAUUCCCCUCCCAGGAAGGCGGUCAGGCAACCCUGGGGAAUGUGUCCAGCUUGAAAGUCUUCGAGGCUUGGUCUUUGGAAAGCGGCAGGGAAGCCCCCCUCCGUCCUCCAUCAUUGCUGGAGGCCUUGUGACACUGGGACGAUGCAGGACUUGGGGUCUAGGGGGCCUGAGCUGAAUGCUGCCUCUGUCUCUGACAACCUGUGGAAUGUUCAGCAAAAGACACAGCUUCUUGGAGGCCUGGCUUAUGUGUCUGGGAGGUGUGGCAGAAGCAGUCCCAGCCUGAAGGGAUGCUGCCAUCCUAAAGAGAUGAGGUCUGUAAAGGAGUGUGGUCCCAGAGGAGGGACUCGGUGUCUAGAACUGUAAUUAGUGUCUCAAACCUGUCCACUUCUUGUCACUUCUUCAGGAAUCACCAGGCCAAUCUCCAUCAGCUCUCCCAAGAAAUAUGACCUGUAUUAACUAGCUCCUAAUGACCUUCAACAGCCAUUCUCCACCACAGCAGCAAAAUAAAAUCUUCGAAUGUUAUCAACAGGGGCCAAGACUUCUUACUUAAUAUCUGUGAGUAGCUUCCCUGCUCAGAUAGGAUUAUGUCUGCAUUCCUUGCACAGCCCGUACAGCCUGCAUGAGGAGGUCCCCGCCCACGGCUCCAAUCUUACUUCCAUCAUUCUCCCCCUACCCUACCUCUCCACCCUCAGCAACCACGGCCUUGUUUCUCUUCCUGAAAUGUACUAAGCUCACUAAGCUCAUUCCCACCCCCGUGCCUUUGCCAGGGCUGUCCCCUCCUCCUGGAAGAAAGAGCCUUGCUCUCUUCCUGUCUGGCACCUUUAACCUUUCCUGUCUCAUCUCAGAUGUAUCUCCUCAGAGACAAUUUUGGGAUCCACCGAUUAAAAGUAGCACACCCCGCCCCCAGACACACUCAGGCAAAAGUAGCACACACCCCCCCAUCCAUACUCAGGCAAACUCUAUCGCGGGACCUUGUUUAUUUCCCUCAGUGAUCUCCCAGACCUACAAUUUUGUUGGCAAAUUUUGUCUUUAAUUUUGUAAUUUUAACGUUGUAGUUUUAAUAAUUUUAACCUUGUUUUUAAACUUAUCUACUAAUACUUUUUAGCUGCAUGCUUCCCCUUCGAAUAUGAACCCCUGAUGUCAGGGACCCUGUCCCCUUUGUUUGCUGAAUAUACCUCCAGCGCCUAGUUCAAGGCUUGGCACAUGUUUCUGCAAAGGGCCAGUUGGCAAAAAUUUUAAGCCUUAUGAGCCAUGCAGUCUAGUCAACUAGUCAACCCAACCAGUCAACCCUAGUCAUGCAACUAGUCAACCCUCAUGUUUUUGUGUGAAAGCAGCUAGACAACAUGUAAAUGAAUGAACAUGGCAAUGUUCCAAUAAAAAUUUAUUUAUAGAAACAAGGGUUGCAUUUUUAAUACCCCUGGUCUAGCUCACUGCCAGGAUUCUAAAUAUUCUACAAAUAUUUGUUAAGUGAAUGACCAGAU
rnacentral:lncRNA from 1 species